GACGAACGCUGGCGGCGUGCCUAAUACAUGCAAGUCGAACGCAGUGGGGACGGGUGAGUAACCCGUGGGUAACCUCCCAUCAGAGGGGAUAACACUUGGAAACAGGUGCUAAACCGAUACUGAUGGAUGAACCCGCGGUGCAUUAGCUAGUUGGUGAGGUAACGGCGCACAAAGGCCACGAUGCAUAGCCGGCCAGAGAGGAUGAUAGGACACACUGGGACGAAGACACGGCCCAGACUCCUACGGGAGGCAGCAGUAGGGAAUCUUCGGCAAUGGGCGAAAGUCUGACCGAGCAACGCCGCGGGAGUGAAGAAGGUUUUCGGAUCGUAAAACUCUGUAGUUAGAGAAGCGGUAUCUAACCAGAAAGCCACGGCUAACUACGUGCCAGCAGCCGCGGUAAUUC
rnacentral:rRNA from 1 species